rnacentral:rRNA from 1 species
GACGAACGCUGGCGGCGUGCUUAACACAUGCAAGUCGAACGAUGAAGCUGGAGCUUGCUCUAGCGGAUUAGUGGCGAACGGGUGAGUAACACGUGAGCAAUCUGCCCUUGACUCUGGGAUAACUGCGGGAAACUGUAGCUAAUACCGGAUACUUUCACCGGGGGGCAUCCUCUGGUGAUGAAAGAAUUUCGGUCAAGGAUGAGCUCGCGGCCUAUCAGCUUGUUGGUGAGGUAACGGCUCACCAAGGCGACGACGGGUAACCGGCCUGAGAGGGUGACCGGUCACACUGGGACUGAGACACGGCCAGACUCCUACGGGAGGCAGCAGUGGGGAAUAUUGCACAAUGGGCGCAAGCCUGAUGCAGCAACGCCGCGUGAGGGAUGAAGGCCUUCGGGUUGUAAACCUCUUUUAGCAGGGAAGAAGCGAAAGUGACGGUACCUGCAGAAAAAGCACCGGCUAACUACAUGCCAGCCGCCGCCGUAA